rnacentral:tRNA from 1 species
GGAUUGUGGCUCAGUGGUAGAGCGCUCACCUAGCAUGUGUGAGGCCAUGGGUUUGAUUCUCAGCACCA